ACCUUCUGUGGUGUAGUUGGUAGCACCUUGGUUUAUUAUAUUUAAGUCCCAGGUUCAAGUCCCGGUCGGGGUA